CUAUAUAAAAGGGACUAAUUUUAAGGUUUUUCGAGGGAUCCACGUCAUCACAAAUAUUCUCCACCAAUCAUUAAGGCACGUCAUCUUGAUUUCUGGUGAAAAUCGUACUGGGCCAUUGUAAGAUAUUGUUAGGCUUAAACAAGUUUUCUCUAUUUGGCCUGAAAUAUAUAAACCCUAUAGCCCAUGUACACCAUAUUAUCCUCUUCGUUUUAUCCAAGCUAAUUUGUAACGAUCGUGAGACGGUCCAAGUUCUAAUUGCUUCUUCGCCGACGUAACCGCAGCAACAAUGAGAAUCUGUUUUCAAAGCUUCUUGAUUACUAACCAAUUCAAAACACAACUAAUCAACUCGCCACCUCCUCCCUCUUGGACCUAUAAAAAUCGAUACAUCCUCUUUCUUUGUCGUUCAGAAUCAUCAAAGUUUUCACAUUCCCUCAAAUUCAUCAAAACUUUCCUGAAAUUUGCCAUGGCAAACCGAUCGCCGGAAACCACCGCUAAUGGCCAAUCGUCUGAAACCACUGUAAGGGUUCUUCUGCGAUUUUGUUCGAACAGGUUUUACCAGGCAGUGGAGACUCUAAACUGUUUUCACGCUUAUCCAUUUUUGGGAAGCUCGCAAUGCAUCCAAUGGGUAAUCCUAAUAAGCGUUGAGAUGCUUAUGAUUGAUGAAGAGGUACUGUCGUUGAGGGUUCAUCGCUCCUAACCGUCUAGAGUAAAGAGUUAUGCAAGUCACCUUAAACGUGGUGGUCUUCAAUCGUCGGGAAGGGAUCUUUAGUGAAAGCUUUGUAAUAGCCUUUCGUCUCAGUUUACUAUAGUUUUCUGACUGUCAUUUGUGCUUUGAUCUUCCAUGUUUGGUUCGACACUGAAUGCCUUGCUCCUGGAACGAGGAAGAACAAGCGGUUGAGAGAAUUGAGGGAAAUGGAAGAGUUUGAGCUCCAUCACUGGUUGUUGGAGGUUAAAAGAUGGAGAUGAAGCUUCACUGGAGAAGAUUCACCAUCUGGUUUUUGUUUUCUAAUUCUCAAUCGCUGUUUUGAUGAUAACACAAUCCAAACCGAAUGGACCAACUGAAAAUGGGCAAAUUGAUUUCAUGGAGAUGUAAUCUAUGACACAACUUCAGGGUCUGCAUCAAGAACGACGUCCGAGCAAGUGCGGCUUCAUCUGGUCAUCACUUUGUUUUCUAAUGCUAUGAGAAUUACUUUAUUUUACUUCAAUCUGUCAGUCAACGCCAUUACAUGUAGCAUAACAUGUAAAAGUUCUGUUAUCUAGAAAAGUUACUUUGUUUAUUUAAAUUGAUUUGUGUGAUUGUGUAGUUUAAUUAUUUUUUAUCCUUAGCUCACACCUUGGUAUGUUGACGAGUUUGUCUUCUGUGAAUUUUUUACUUUUUUGUCUUUUAAUGGUGUUUGUAUGUUACUGUCUACAUUCGUUUCCUGCAGCUAAUGAUGUCUGACGGUUCACUUGCUGAAUUGAAGAAAAAGAAGUCAAUGAAUG